UACGAAGGGGGCUAGCGUUGCUCGGAAUCACUGGGCGUAAAGCGCACGUAGGCGGCUUACUAAGUCAGGGGUGAAAUCCUGGAGCUCAACUCCAGAACUGCCUUUGAUACUGGUGAGCUUGAGUCCGGAAGAGGUGAGUGGAACUGCGAGUGUAGAGGUGAAAUUCGUAGAUAUUCGCAAGAACACCGGUGGCGAAGGCGGCAUCCUGGACCGGCAUUGACGCUGAGGUGCGAAAGCGUGGGGAGCAAACAGG
rnacentral:rRNA from 1 species